rnacentral:lncRNA from 1 species
AUGCAGCCCAGCUGCAGUGACCCGUUUCCCCCAGCUGCUGUCCCCAAACACCCUUUGGUCCCCCAUUUCUCACAAUGUCCCAGAUGCUACCAGCAUCACUGCGGCCCUCCAUCAGCAAGCAGCACGGUGGCAAACAGCACAGCCCCCUUUCAUUUCAUGCCUUGUUACCCGAGGGAUCAUUUCCAACAACACCCAAUGCCUCAGAUCACAGAAAACAUCUAUUUUUAUUGUGGGUGUACAGCCACAUGCUUUAAGACUCAACUGCCCCCAGUGACAGAGCAUGGGAAAGGGAAAGGGAAAGGGAAAGGGAAAGGGAAAGGGAAAGGGAAGGGGAAGGGGAAGGGGAAGGGGAAGGGGAAGGGGAAGGGGAAGGGGAAGGGGAAGGGGAAGGGGAAGGGGAAGGGGAAGGGGAAGGGGAAGGGGAAGGAGAAGGGAAGGGGAAUGAGGAAAAAGGAAAAGGGAAAAAAAAAAGAAAAGAAAAAGAUAAAAAGAGAAAGAAAAAGGAAAAGGAAAAUAAGGAAAAGGAAAAGGAAAAGGAAAAGGAAAAGGAAAAGGAAAAGGAAAAGGAAAAGGAAAAGAAAAAAGGAAAAGGAAAAGGAAAAGGAAAAGGAAAAGAAAAAGAAAAAGAAAAAGAAAAAGAAAAAGAAAAAGAAAAAGAAAAAGAAAAAGAAAGAAAGAAAAAGAAAAAGAAAAAGAAAAAGAAAAAGAAAAAAAGAAAAAGAAAGAAAGAAAAAGAAAAAGAAAAAGAAAGAAAAAGAAAAAGAAAAAGAAAAAGAAAAAGAAAAAGAAAAAGAAAAAGAAAAAGANNNNNNNNNNAAAAGAAAAAGAAAAAGAAAAAGAAAAAGAAAAAGAAAAAGAAAGGAAGAAGAGGAUUAUGCAAGAAGUUUAUUUGGUGUCCCCCCCCCCACCAUUUCACAGGUUUGUUCAAGCAGCCCGGGGUUUGAGCGCCAGGAGCCGCUUGCUCUGUUCGGGGCUGGUGCCGAGCACAAUCCCUACAUUGCAGCGCCACCUGCAGCGGCCGCGCUUCGUGGCAGCCCUGCACAUCCCCGCAGCAGGGCGAAAUCUUCCCAAAAAAAAGCCCAGGGAGGGGGCUGCUGGCUGCAGAGCUUCCUCCUCCGGGUGUUUUUUCACCACUCUCCCUUUCCUGCGGUCUUUCAGGCGUUGGAGGUUUGA